rnacentral:lncRNA from 1 species
UUCAUAAGUCUAAUUGAUCAAUCCAAAUUAGUUUCCUUGUUUGUGUGACCCCAUAGGUUCCAUUAUGUCUAGUAGUGAGAUAUACCAUGAUCUCUAUAAUAGUAUCAUUAAAAUUUUUUUCAAUGGAUGAAAAUCAUUCCACUCUAACUCAAUAAAGAUCAUCGAUCCAGAAUGAUCUUAGUGAGCUCUCACAAUCUAUCAGUGACC